AGAGUUUGAUCCUGGCUCAGAACGAACGCUGGCGGCAGGCCUAACACAUGCAAGUCGAACGAUAAGCUUCUUCGGAAGUGGACAGUGGCAGACGGGUGAGUAACGCGUGGGGAUCUGCCCAGAGGUUCGGGACAACCAUUGGAAACGAUGGCUAAUACCGAAUAAGCCCGUAAGGGGAAAGAUUUAUUGCCUUUGGAUGAACCCGCGUAAGAUUAGCUAGUUGGUGAGGUAAUGGCUCACCAAGGCGACGAUCUUUAGCUGGUCUGAGAGGAUGAUCAGCCACAUUGGGACUGAGACACGGCCCAGACUCCUACGGGAGGCAGCAGUGGGGAAUAUUGCGCAAUGGGGGAAACCCUGACGCAGCCAUGCCGCGUGAGUGAAGAAGGCCUUAGGGUUGUAAAGCUCUUUCGCUAGGGAAGAUAAUGACGGUACCUAGUAAAGAAGCCCCGGCUAACUCCGUGCCAGCAGCCGCGGUAAUACGGAGGGGGCUAGCGUUGUUCGGAAUCACUGGGCGUAAAGCGUACGUAGGCGGACUAAUUAGUUGGGGGUGAAAUCCCGGAGCUCAACUCCGGAACUGCCUCCAAAACUGUUAGUCUUGAGAUCGAGAGAGGUAAGUGGAAUUCCGAGUGUAGAGGUGAAAUUCGUAGAUAUUCGGAAG
rnacentral:rRNA from 1 species